rnacentral:rRNA from 1 species
CUGCCUGCCCAGUGACCCACAAGUUAAACGGCCGCGGUAUCUUGACCGUGCGAAGGUAGCAUAAUCACUUGUCUCCUAAAUAGAGACUGGUAUGAAUGGCAAGACGGAGCUCUACUGUCUCCUUCUCUUAAAUCCGAACUUUACUCUUCCGUGAAGAGGCGGGAAUAUUAUCGCAAGACGAGAAGACCCUGUCGAGCUGCAGCAAAACUUUAACCAUUAUCUACUUUCAACUCAACUAACAAAUACCACUAUAGAGUCAAAUUCAAGUAUAAUGGAUUAAACAAAAGCUUCGAUUGGGGCAAUCACGGAGAAAGAAAAUCCUCCGUUACUAAUAAGCUUUAACUAAGCCUAAUAAGAAAGAACCAUAAUUCUAAAAUCAAUAAAUGAAGGUAUGAUCCACUCAUAGUGAUCAAAAGAAAAAGUUACCGCAGGGAUAACAGCGUCAUCUUUUCUGAGAGUCCAUAUUGACGAAAAGGUUUGCGACCUCGAUGUUGGAUCGGGACAUCCUGAGGGUGCAGAAGCUCUUAAGGGUUGGUCUGUUCGACCAUUAAAGUCCUACGUG